GUCCUCUAUAAACUGGAACUGUACUUUCCUGAAAUAAAUAAACAAGUUAAAUGGUUGGUCUUCUCACAGGUCUAUAUUUUUCUUCCUUCUAAAUUGGCAUCAUCUCCGUAGUUUUCUAAAAAACAAACUUCAAGAGAAAGUAAAUAUCACACAACUAGAUCUCUCCUACCUAGCUCGCCAUUAAUGUAAGAAAUUAUGACCCUCUUACAAG